ensembl:lncRNA
GUGAUUCUAUAAACUUCCCUAAAUGUCUUCAUCAACCAUGUGAAUUACCUGUUUCUCGAGGUUGAUUUCUACUUUUUUAGUUUUCUUACUCAUGUGGUCAGUUUUUCAGUUUUGAUCUCAUUCUAAAAUAGAUACAUGGUAACUGGUCAGAUAUAUUUUUAUAUAGCACAGGAUUCUUGACAGACAUGUCAAACUGAACUGACAUUUUGCCCAUUUUAAGUGCCUACAGACAUAGUGAAAUGGCCCUGUUCAUCUUCAUAAUAUUUUAUCUUAUACUGGAGGUUAAAUUGCAAGGUUUGGCCACCAUGUCGUCUUUGCCACCAGUCACAGAGGGCAGCCCAACUACAGUGAUUCCCAAUGGAACCUUACAAGUUUUGGGUGUAACAUCCACUACUGAGUCUGAAAUCACAACAGACCUGAUAACCAAUAUGUCAAGUCCAAGUACCCAAGACAACCAUAGUUUAAAAGAUCCUGCAAAUGGUGAGUCCUCAGGACGUCUUCUCUGCAACAUUAAUGUAGCCAAAAUACAUUUGAUUGAUUUGAUUUUCAUUCGAUUUAUUUACAAAUCCUCAGCAUCCUUAGAAUCGACUACACUUUCUGAUAAUACAGAACGUGCUUCAGUUUUCCCCUUGAUGACUAAAGGCCCUGAAAUCAGAAAGUACUCAAAUACAAAAAUGUUCUUCCUCAUUGCUGUGGUUGCAUCUGGUGGAGGAAUUGUACUGACUGGACUCGUGGGCACUUGUUUGUACAGAUAUACACGAAAGUCAAAGGUAGAGAGGAUUUGGAUCGAAUCGAGCAGCAAAAAACAGAAACAGGGACCAGUGGCCAGUUCAGACUCAUCUGGAGAGGAAGAUACAGUGCUUUACUCAACCAUCAACUUCAUUCAACCCCCCUCUCAACCACCAGGAAACAAUGAAGAAUCAAUUCAAAAUGAGGUUGAACUGAAUCAUUUGUAUUACACCGUCAUAACCAAACCGGCAAUCUCCAGUGACAGCAGGAGUGUUUACAGUCAGCUGAAGGUCCACUGAAAGAAUACAACUCUGCAUGCUGCUGUUUUAAUGCAGGCCAAAAUUGAUGCAUCUUAAUUUUAAACAUGCUUUAAUCCUCCAUAGCAAUGCCUUUUAUUGUAAAUGUUAAACUUCUGCUUUCUAAUUUCAAUGUUGUAACACCUUUCAAAACUGUGUCAUAAACUUUCUUUCUGAUUUCGGUUUACUUGUAUUUUCUGUAGAUUCACAUGAACAGAAUAACCACAUCAGAAGGCACACAGCAUGAAUAUGCAUACUUUUAAGCAAUAAUAAUUGUUAUUGUGAAUGGCAGUUGUAUAGAUCAACAUAAGGACAGUCAUAUUUCAUCCUGUUACUUGUGUGAAUAUUUUCACCUGAUGUUUAUUAUUUAAAGCGCCUCAUUUUUAUGUUUCUCUUUUUGUUCCUUUUGUACUUUUCCGCUGUUCCUCAAAGUUAUGUCUAAAAUCUCUUUGAAGCCUGGAGUAAUGGCUUCUGAAAAUCCCACUUUGUCAUCACAGGAAUAAAAUAUAUUCAAAUAGAAAACUGUUAUUUUGA